rnacentral:rRNA from 1 species
UACGUAGGUGGCAAGCGUUGUCCGGAUUUACUGGGCGUAAAGAGCGCGCAGGCGGUCGUUCAAGUCGAGUGUGAAAGCCCCGGGCUUAACUUGGGAAUUGCGCUCGAAACUACUUUGCUGGAGUGUGGCAGAGGAAGGUGGAAUUCCACGUGUAGCGGUGAAAUGCGUAGAGAUGUGGAGGAACACCAAUGGCGAAAGCAGCUUCUGGGACGGUACUGACGCUGAGACGCGAAAGCGUGGGGAGCGAACAGGAUUGAGAUACC